UUUUUUUUUUGCUCACUGUGAGACUUUUUGGGCUCUCUGACUCCAAACUUGAGAUCCCAAGGUUUCAAAUUCUUACCUGGGGGCUGGAAAUGGAGAUUGGUUGGAGCAACUGAAGCAACAAGAGCCAGAAUUUUUUUGAUAUCUCGAGGGUUUUAUCUACAGAUAGAAACCCUUAAGUCUCUUGAGGAAAUCACACCAAAAUCUGGGGAUUUGGGGCCUCCUAUGUGGCAUUUCCAGGUAUUUUGGCUUGGAUGUUCUGACAGGAAUUAAUUCUUCAGGGCUUCUGUGAGACCCUGGAAACCCAAAGGUUUUGCUGAGUUCUUGCCCUUUAUUUAACUGAAAUUCAUUCUGCCCACACCUGACUAAAUAAUUUGGUGUUUUCUGACCUCUCUUUGGGUAGAAACCCCUCCCAAGUGACUUCCUUGAUCUUCCAUCAAGCCCUUUUAAAAUGGUUUAUUUUUAAUUAAAAAUCACCUUGGCCCAUUAGCAGCAAACAAAGCUGAUUUCUGGGCUUUCCUGGCACUUUUUUUAAUAUUUCCAGACUUUCCUGCUUCCACCUCCUCUGCUCUGCACAGGAGCUGAGAGAAGAUGAAUCCUGAUGAUUUAUGGGUUUGGAGCACCUUGAAGAUUCCCACUGUGGGAGGCUGAUCCUGGGUUUUAGUGGGAUUUAAAAACUCAAAUAAACAGCAUGGGAAAAAAAAUGCACUCAAACAUCUCAAAAUGAUUUUCCUGAAACCCCAGCAAGGUGGGGAGACUCUCCCACAACAUUCCCAGAGAAGCUGUGGCUGCUCCUGGAUCCCUGCAAGUGUCCAAGGCCAGGGCUUGGAGCAGCCUGGGGUAGUGGGAAGUGUCCAGAGGGUGGAACUGGAGGAGUUCAAGGUCCCUUCCCACCCAAACCAUUCCAGGAUUCCACCCCAGCCAAGCUGAGGACACAAACAGAGACUC